CAGCCGCCGCGGGAAUACGGAGGGUGCAAGCGUUAAUCGGAAUUACUGGGCGUAAAGCGCACGCAGGCGGUCUGACAAGUCAGAUGUGAAAUCCCCGGGCUUAACCUGGGAACUGCAUUUGAAACUGUCAGGCUGGAGUCUUGUAGAGGGGGGUAGAAUUCCAGGUGUAGCGGUGAAAUGCGUAGAGAUCUGGAGGAAUACCGGUGGCGAAGGCGGCCCCCUGGACAAAGACUGACGCUCAGGUGCGAAAGCGUGGGGAGCAAACAGGAUUAGAUACCCCAGUAGUCCCUGUCUCUUAUAC
rnacentral:rRNA from 1 species